rnacentral:tRNA from 1 species
GACCCGUUAGCUCAGUCGGUAGAGCACCUGACUUUUAAUCAGGGUGUCGUUGGUUCGAUCCCAACACGGGUCACCA